GGUCUGCAGCCAUACAGAAACUAUGCGAAGAAAAGCCGGUCUCAAGUAUAUAUGGCUGGUUCUGUACUUCUGUAUGCUGAUACAAAGUGCUAAGGUGACUACCAACUGAAACAUGCUGCUGGAUACUUCAGUUGCCUGAAGAGUUCGAUAGGACACAGGCUGCAUCCAUGGGGCGAGCUGGUAGGGUCAUGGAAGGGCGAGAUCCUCAGCCUCCCGUCGGCGUCCACACGCGCGGGGUUGGUGUUGAUCACGGAGAAGCAGCCGAGGACCCCGUGGUGCUCCAGGACGGUCUCGAUGAAGAAGGCGUUGGCGUCGCUCACCACCUUCAAAUCACACCUGCAACGCGCACCUACCACCAUCAAGAUCCAGAGCUCCAGCUACCACCGCCACCGGGCGAGAAACCAAGAACAGAUAUGACAUAUCGAUCGGCAUGCAUCCAUCCAUAGUGGCUGCAGUGCGCAUGUACCCUAAUGCCGACGCCGUUCUGAUGGCGGA